rfam:Gossypium raimondii Chr05_contig_438, whole genome shotgun sequence.
AUCUCGUGGUGAGGGCAUUUACAUAGUAGCCCUUUGAAUCUUUUCCAUGCCUUGUGUAGGGACUCAUCAUCCAUAUACUGAAAAGUGGUGAUCUCAUUCCGCAACU